rnacentral:pre_miRNA from 1 species
CAGCUACUCCCUCUGUCCCAAAUUUCUUGUCUUAGAUUUGUCUAGAUACGGAUGUAUCUAAUACUAAAAUGUGACUUGAUACAUCCAUAUCUAGACAAAUCUAAGACAAGAAUUUUGGGAUGGAGGGAGUACUUU